AUACAGAGGGUGCGAGCGUUAAUCGGAAUUACGGGGCGUAAAGCGCGCGUAGGCGGCUACUUAAGUCAGAUGUGAAAUCCCCGGGCUCAACCUGGGAACUGCAUCUGAUACUGGGUAGCUAGAGUUUUGGAGAGGGAAGUAGAAUUUCAGGUGUAGCGGUGAAAUGCAUAGAGAUCUGAAGGAAUACCAGUGGCGAAGGCGACUUCCUGGCCAAAAACUGACGCUGAGGUGCGAAAGCGUGGGUAGCAAACGGGAUUAGAAACCCUAGUAGUCC
rnacentral:rRNA from 1 species